GCCCGUGCGAUGAAAGCCCGUGAACCUUGUCAGAUGGGGAACCAAGCAGCAAUAAGCGGUGUCUUUGAUGUGUUACGGUAA
rnacentral:SRP_RNA from 1 species